rnacentral:rRNA from 1 species
UACGUAGGGUGCAAGCGUUGCCCGGAUUUAUUGGGCGUAAAGGGCGCGUAGGCGGCUCUGCACGUCCGUUGUGAAAUCGCCCGGCUCAACUGGGCGGGGUCAGCGGAUACGGCAGAGCUUGAGCAAGCUAGGGGGCAAUGGAAUUCCCGGUGUAGUGGUGGAAUGCGUAGAGAUCGGGAGGAACACCAGAGGCGAAGGCGGCGACCUGGACAAGCACUGACACUCAACUACGAAAGCGUGGGGAGCAAACAGG